AUUGCCCCUCCCACCCCCUCAUUGGCUCCUCCCCCCCAAACCCAAGGUGCUGGAUGUGGCUCACAACGAGCUGAGGAGCCUCGAGGGGUUCCCGGUGCUGCCCCAGCUCAGGGAGGUGGAUUUGGGGGGGAAUCCCAUAAGCCACGCCUCCGCCCUCACCCCAUUGGCCGCCUGCCCCCGGCUGCGCCGCCUCCGAUUGGCCGAGACCCCGCUGGCCAGAGGCUGCCCCGGAUUGGCCGAGCUGCUGCCGGGGGGUGGAGCUGGUGUGGAGCUGAUUGGCUGCGGCGGCUGUGACGUCACCGGAAGCCCCUCCCCCCCUUAUUUGUCAACCCUCGUGGGGGGUGAAUAAAGUGACGUCAUGAAGGG